AGCGAACGCUGGCGGCAGGCCUAACACAUGCAAGUCGAACGGACCCUUCGGGGUUAGUGGCGGACGGGUGAGUAACACGUGGGAACGUGCCUUUAGGUUCGGAAUAGCUCCUGGAAACGGGUGGUAAUGCCGAAUGUGCCCUUCGGGGGAAAGAUUUAUCGCCUUUAGAGCGGCCCGCGUCUGAUUAACUAGUUGGUGAGGUAAUGGCUCACCAAGGCGACGAUCAGUAGCUGGUCUGAGAGGAUGACCAGCCACAUUGGGACUGAGACACGGCCAAAACUCCUACGGGAGGCAGCAGUGGGGAAUCUUGCGCAAUGGGCGAAAGCCUGACGCAGCCAUGCCGCGUGGAUGAUGAAGGUCUUAGGAUUGUAAAAUCCUUUCACCGGUGAAGAUAAUGACUGUAGCCGGAGAAGAAGCCCCGGCUAACUUCGUGCCAGCAGCCGCCGUAACAC
rnacentral:rRNA from 1 species